CUUAUAUACAUUGGAAUGAAAUUACUUUUCUUCAGGACCUUGGUGCGAGAAGGAACAGUACACUAGACUACAUAAAGUGCAUAUACACAACAGUGUGAGAAAAGUGCUAAACAGUAAAUACACAGAACAAAACAAUUAAUACACAGGACAAUAUAUACACAGAACAUGGACUGUAAGCUAUUUUGUAAUGUAGCAAUACACAUAUAGCAGCAAUACUUGCAGAAAAAAAACAAGUUCCAUACUAUAAAGUGACUGAUGCAGCUAUGUAAAGUGCAGUGUACAGUAGUACUGAGUCUUACUGGAUUAGUGAAUGUGCAGUGGUACUGAAGUGUUACGGUAGAUGUUCGGCUUGCUCAGGUGAGCGUUGGGAGGCAACGGGGUGUUGAGUAAUCUGACUGCCUCAGGGAAGAAACUGUUGCAGAGUCUGCUGGUGGUGGCACGGAUGCUCCUGUACCUUCUGCCAAAUGGCGGGAGGGUGAAUAUUGUGAGAGGGGUCGUCCGCAAUACUGGCGGCUUUGCAGAUGCAGCAGUUGUUGAAGGAGGGGUCGAUGGUGGGUAGAUCUUUUCAGCUAUCCUCACAAUUCACUGUAGGGUCUUGCAGUCUGUGGCUGUGCAGUUCCCAUACCACACAGUGAGACAGCUGGUCAGGACGCUCCCUAUUGUCCCUCUUACCUGUUACAAUUAGCAGUGAAAUAUUAGAACAAUGUCAUGUAGUCUGUCAAAAUGUUGUUCCGUUAGAGAACUAAUUGUUGGUUUAUCACUUAUGACUUUAAUUUAGAGUGCAUAAAAUUAACUUGGCUGUUAAUUUAGAGUGCAGUUAUGAGACCAGAGGGGGAAGUUGCUUGGGGGUUCAUGGGUUCCUGUGAGUGCUCUGACACAUCCAGUCAUUACAGCUUAUCUCCUCAAAUGGAAUACUAGUACUCCCUGCUGCCCCUGCCUGUUAUUUCCAUGAUAUAUGUCAGUACUAUUGGGGGCCCAUCAUCAGCAAUAGAAAUUAAUCUCACAUGGCUUUUGACUGUUGUAGAAAAGAAAUUGACUGGUGG
ensembl:lncRNA